rnacentral:rRNA from 1 species
UAGGGAAUCUUCGGCAAUGGACGAAAGUCUGUCCGAGCAACGCCGCGUGAGUGAAGAAGGUUUUCGGAUCGUAAAACUCUGUUGUUAGAGAAGAACAAGGACGUUAGUAACUGAACGUCCCCUGACGGUAUCUAACCAGAAAGCCACGGCUAAUUACGUGCCAGCAGCCGCGGUAAUACGUAGGUGGCAAGCGUUGUCCGGAUUUAUUGGGCGUAAAGCGAGCGCAGGCGGUUUCUUAAGUCUGAUGUGAAAGCCCCCGGCUCAACCGGGGAGGGUCAUUGGAAACUGGGAGACUUGAGUGCAGAAGAGGAGAGUGGAAUUCCAUGUGUAGCGGUGAAAUGCGUAGAUAUAUGGAGGAACACCAGUGGCGAAGGCGGCUCUCUGGUCUGUAACUGACGCUGAGGCUCGAAAGCGUGGGGAGCAAACAGG